GUUCCAACUCGCCCUGCAGUUCAUUAUAAGCAACGGCUCCUGUGUGGUCAAUGUCUCCAGCAAUGAGGACUGUACAGCACUGUCUCACUGUCGAAAACAUUCAGAGACGAUCUGCACAGCAGCUCUGUAACUACAGCUUCACUCAUCCAUGGCUGUAUAAUAAUCCUCGCACUUAGCAAGGGCUGUAUAACAGGAUACCCACUAAGAGCUGUGCUCACAGCCCCAUUAUAUGAUAAAAAUGUCCUGUUUGUAGUCUUUUCCUGGUGUCCUUUACAUUGGAUCUUCCCCUGGUCACAAUCUGUGUUCACUGUGUUCUCUCUCACAUCUCUGCUGGUGAAUGUUUAAUGUCUGAGCUUUCAGUCUAGUGUGAGAAUUGAUACUAGCAGGGACUUCCCACUAAGCCUCGCCUCGUACUACCUGAAAGCAAGCAAGCAUAGCAGUCACAUAAUAACAGUACAGACAACAAUAUAUUCUGCAAGCAAAAAC